UACGUAGGAUGCAAGCGUUUGUCCGGUAUUUACGUGGGCGUAAAGCGCGCGCAGGCGGCACUCUAAGUACGUCGUGAAAUAUCCCGGCUCAACCGGGAGGUGCGAUGUAGACUAGGGAGCUAGAGGUCGGUAGAGGGUAGUGGAAUUCCCGGUGUAGCGGUGAAAUGCGUAGAGAUCGGGAGGAACACCAGUGGCGAAGGCGGCUACCUGGACCAGCACUGACACUGAGGCACGAAAGCGUGGGGAGCAAACAGG
rnacentral:rRNA from 1 species